AAAUUGAAGAGUUUGAUCAUGGCUCAGAUUGAACGCUGGCGGCAGGCCUAACACAUGCAAGUCGAGCGGUAGCACAGAGAGCUUGCUCUCGGGUGACGAGCGGCGGACGGGUGAGUAAUGUCUGGGAAACUGCCUGAUGGAGGGGGAUAACUACUGGAAACGGUAGCUAAUACCGCAUAACGUCGCAAGACCAAAGUGGGGGACCUUCGGGCCUCAUGCCAUCAGAUGUGCCCAGAUGGGAUUAGCUAGUAGGUGGGGUAACGGCUCACCUAGGCGACGAUCCCUAGCUGGUCUGAGAGGAUGACCAGCCACACUGGAACUGAGACACGGUCCAGACUCCUACGGGAGGCAGCAGUGGGGAAUAUUGCACAAUGGGCGCAAGCCUGAUGCAGCCAUGCCGCGUGUGUGAAGAAGGCCUUCGGGUUGUAAAGCACUUUCAGCGGGGAGGAAGGCGAUAAGGUUAAUAACCUUGUUGAUUGACGUUACCCGCAGAAGAAGCACCGGCUAACUCCGUGCCAGCAGCCGCGGUAAUACGGAGGGUGCAAGCGUUAAUCGGAAUUACUGGGCGUAAAGCGCACGCAGGCGGUCUGUCAAGUCGGAUGUGAAAUCCCCGGGCUCAACCUGGGAACUGCAUUCGAAACUGGCAGGCUAGAGUCUUGUAGAGGGGGGUAGAAUUCCAGGUGUAGCGGUGAAAUGCGUAGAGAUCUGGAGGAAUACCGGUGGCGAAGGCGGCCCCCUGGACAAAGACUGACGCUCAGGUGCGAAAGCGUGGGGAGCAAACAGGAUUAGAUACCCUGGUAGUCCACGCCGUAAACGAUGUCGAUUUGGAGGUUGUGCCCUUGAGGCGUGGCUUCCGGAGCUAACGCGUUAAAUCGACCGCCUGGGGAGUACGGCCGCAAGGUUAAAACUCAAAUGAAUUGACGGGGGCCCGCACAAGCGGUGGAGCAUGUGGUUUAAUUCGAUGCAACGCGAAGAACCUUACCUGGUCUUGACAUCCACAGAACUUAGCAGAGAUGCUUUGGUGCCUUCGGGAACUGUGAGACAGGUGCUGCAUGGCUGUCGUCAGCUCGUGUUGUGAAAUGUUGGGUUAAGUCCCGCAACGAGCGCAACCCUUAUCCUUUGUUGCCAGCGGUCCGGCCGGGAACUCAAAGGAGACUGCCAGUGAUAAACUGGAGGAAGGUGGGGAUGACGUCAAGUCAUCAUGGCCCUUACGACCAGGGCUACACACGUGCUACAAUGGCAUAUACAAAGAGAAGCGACCUCGCGAGAGCAAGCGGACCUCAUAAAGUAUGUCGUAGUCCGGAUUGGAGUCUGCAACUCGACUCCAUGAAGUCGGAAUCGCUAGUAAUCGUAGAUCAGAAUGCUACGGUGAAUACGUUCCCGGGCCUUGUACACACCGCCCGUCACACCAUGGGAGUGGGUUGCAAAAGAAGUAGGUAGCUUAACCUUCGGGAGGGCGCUUACCACUUUGUGAUUCAUGACUGGGGUGAAGUCGUAACAAGGUAACCGUAGGGGAACCUGCGGUUGGAUCACCUCCUUACCUUAAAGAA
rnacentral:rRNA from 1 species